CCGCCUCGCUGUCUACGACAGAGGGUGGGGCAGACGCUCCGUUUCCGGUGGCAGGGUCUGGGGAAGCGGCGGCAGGCGCCAUGUCUGGCCGCGAAGGUGGCAAGAAGAAGCCACUGAAACAGCCCAAGAAGCAGGCCAAGGAGAUGGACGAGGAAGAUAAGGCUUUCAAGCAGAAACAAAAAGAGGAGCAGAAGAAACUCGAGGAGCUAAAAGCGAAGGCCGCGGGGAAGGGGCCCUUGGCCACAGGUGGAAUUAAGAAAUCUGGCAAAAAGUAAGCUGUUCCUUGUGCCUGAGGAGAUGGUGACCCUUUAUUUCAUCUGUAUUUAAACCUCUCUAUUCCCUGCCAUAACAUCUUUUGCCACGUAUAGCUGGAAUUAAGUGUUGUCUUGGAGCUGUUGUACAUUUAAGAAUAAACUUUUGUAAAAAAAAAAAAAAAAAA